UAUAAGGAUUGGGGAUAGCAAGUGAUGGAGAGGAGGAGAAUAGAGAGGGCGGAGCUUCAAGGAAAGGGCGGGGCGGUAGAUCUUGGCUUAGUCUGUCACUUAAAAAGCGAUCUUGGGUGUAAAACGGUUGGAGACCACUGGAAUAUAGGAUUCAGGUCAAAUUCAGGAUUCAAAUAGAUUGAAUUCACAAAGUGUUUUAGCCUUGUGCAAAAGUACAAAAAGAAGGCCUUGUCUACGUUAAUCAUUUGCCAUUAUUACAGUCAUCAGUGUAACUGGACUAAUGCAACCCCUAAGGUACACACGCCGACUCGACUGCCUGGUGGAGGUAAUUCCAUUUUGAGCAGGGAUGAGCUCUUUCACUAGUACACACAGCAGCCCCUGUUUAUGUUAUGACUUGUACCUGUCCCAUUAUUACUAAAAACUGCAAUGAAAGCAAUUCCCCAUUAUAUAGGUCAAAGACUGAAUAUUGAGUUUCCUAUCAAAUAUAUGUUAGUUGAAAGGCUUGUUAAUACACUGACUAUUCUUACUUUUUAAAAUUGUUUUGAGGACCCUAGAAGGCAAACUAAUUUUUUAUGCAAAUGUUUGGAUUCCUUGCUAUUCUAUAAAAUAUUAUCUAGUGCUUGGCACAGAACUGUUAAAGGGUUGGACUGUACUAGCAUGAUCUGGAAAUAGAUAACUUUUCUGAGAGGGUUGCUAGUAUUUAAUCAGUCACACUGAGUUCUGUGUUUUGUGCCAUAUCAAAACUGGUUUGUCUGAGUCAACUGCAAAAACAGUGGAAAUGAGUGCCAUGCAAUGUGUAUCAAAUAACAAAUACUAUAAUAGCUUCCAGUACAGCUAUUGUGGCAUUACUACAUUUUGUAAUAGUACUUUAUGCUUACGCAAUUUGUUCUGACAUCUCUUUAGACUUCUGUUUUCUGAAAUGUAGCAGAUCAGUUUUUACUUCACUGCAGAUCUUACCAUGUACCAACAGCCUGACUCCGUUGUUGUCUAAGGGGAGCUCAGGUAUUCUAAUGCAUCCAUUUCUCUGCUUUUGCUGCAUUGUAUGCUGUGCUAAAGAAGACAUUGGAGAUUGAUUUUACCCAACCAACAGUUGUAGCAAUGGACUACAAUCAAAACAGUUUGUUGGACAGUAGCAAUACUUGCAGUGCAGCAUUUGGCACAGACUAUCCAAAAGGGGCAGAGAUUUAGGAGAGUAAAUGAUUGAACCGCCAUUGAAAGAUGUCUGAAACAACUUCCGGAAUGGGAAUCCUACUCUAAAUCCUACAUUGAAAAAAGAAGUUAAAGUGAUUAUUGUAAUUACCAGAUUGUUCACUCGCAUUCAAGCAAACUAUUUUGUGCUGUUCUGGGUCCUUAAAAGAUCACAUUUGAAUAUUUCAAAAUCUAUGUAGCACACUCAUUUAGAAGUUUUUAAUAUUUUGUCUUUAUUAACUUUGCCAUUUCAUGAAAAAAUCUGCCACAACAUGUAUUGAGUUAAAGUAAUUUCCUUCAUUCAAUAUAUUGGAGGCUAUUGACAAUUCUUCUGUAAGAUUCACACAAUAGUUCCUCUUUUUCUGAGGGAAAAAUGAAGCAUUAGCUUCCAUUGGCACCUUCAAAAAAGCUAUAUGAUGUUCAGACAUACUUCUUCACCGCACAUAGAGAUGACAUAAGUUAUUCUUCCAUGCAUCCCAAUAGCACCCAAUACACUUCCCAGUAGCAUAUCGAGCAUUGUAAAUAUCAGGUUGUGAAUAGUUAUUGUCUGGUGUCAAUGAAAGUUAGAUUAAAUAGAUCAUGAUUUUAUUAUUUUGUUGUUUCAGUGUUCUGUUUUUCUCUUCCCCUUCACAUACUAGGACAUAUGAUCAAGGUGAUAGUAUUAGGUUUCAGAAAAUCGACCAUUAUCUGCUCUAUUUUCCCAUUCUUGUUCAUCACAACAAUAUUAUGCACUAACUUGAAAUGUUUGUAAAUUCAUAUUUAAAAUGUUUGAGACCUCAUCUAAAUAAAUUUGUAUAUAAAAAUGCUGUGUUUAA